GACGAACGCUGGCGGCGUGGAUUAGGCAUGCAAGUCGAGCGGCAAGGAAUCUUCGGAUUCCCUAGAGCGGCGAACGGGUGAGUAACACGUGAACAACCUGUCCUUUUGUUCCGGAUAAUUGAGAGAAAUCUCUUGUAAUACGGGGGAGCGUGGUUUCGGGGCAUCUCGAGAUCAAAGAACAAGCAAUUGGCAUUUGGAGGGGUUCGCGACCUAUCAGGUAGUUGGUGUGGUAACGGCACACCAAGCCAACGACGGGUAGCUGGUCUGAGAGGAUGGUCAGCCACAUUGGAACUGAGACACUGUCCAGACUCCUACGGGAGGCUGCAGUCGAGAAUCUUGGGCAAUGCACGAAAGUGUGACCCAGCGACGCCGCGUGAAGGAUGAAGGCCCUCUGGGUCGUAAACUUCUUUUAUUGGGAAAGAAGGGGGCUUCGGCCUCUUGACGGUACCCAUUGAAUAAGCCACGGCUAACUACGUGCCAGCAGCCGCGGUAAUACGUAGGUGGCAAGCGUUGUCCGGAUUUACUGGGCGUAAAGCGAACGCAGGCGGGCUUUUAAGUCUGAAGUGAAAGGUUGGAGCUCAACUCCGACACUGCUUUGGAUACUGGAAGCCUUGAGUACUGGAGAGGAAAGCGGAACGACACGUGUAGCGGUGAAAUGCGUUGAUAUGUGUCGGAACACCGAUGGCGAAAGCAGCUUUCUGGACAGAGACUGACGCUGAGGUUCGAAAGCCAAGGGAGCGAACAGGAUUAGAUACCCUGGUAGUCUUGGCCAUAAACGAUGUUCACUAGGUGUCGGGUCAUUGAUUCGGUGCCGCAGCUAACGCAUUAAGUGAACCGCCUGGGAACUACGAUCGCAAGAUUAAAACUCAAAGGAAUUGGCGGGGGCCCGCACAAGCGGUGGAGCAUAUGGCUUAAUUCGAUGCAACGCGAAGAACCUUACCAGGGCUUGACAUGCAACUGCACGCUGGAGAGAUCCAGUUCUUUCGAAGGUGUUGCACAGGUGGUGCAUGGCUGUCGUCAGCUCGUGUCGUGAGAUGUUGGGUUAAGUCCCGCAACGAGCGCAACCCUCACGGUCUGUUACCAGCGGAUAAUGCCGGGGACUCGGACUGAACUGCCUCUGUAAAGAGGAGGAAGGUGGGGAUGACGUCAAGUCAUCAUGCCCCUUACGCCCUGGGCUGCACAUAUGCUACAAUGGCCGGUACAAAGGGUUGCUAACGCGCGAGCGUAUGCUAAUCCCAAAAAGCCGGUCUCAGUUCGGAUUGGAGUCUGCAACUCGACUCCAUGAAGCCGGAAUCGCUAGUAAACGCCGGUCAGCAAUACGGCGUUGAAUACGUUCCCGGGCCU
rnacentral:rRNA from 1 species